GUGGGGAAUAUUGGACAAUGGGCGCAAGCCUGAUCCAGCCAUGCCGCGUGAGUGAUGAAGGCCCUAGGGUUGUAAAGCUCUUUCACCGGUGAAGAUAAUGACGGUAACCGGAGAAGAAGCCCCGACUAACUUCGUGCCAGCAGCCGCGGUAAUACGAAGGGGGCUAGCGUUGUUCGGAAUUACUGGGCGUAAAGCGCACGUAGGCGGACAUUUAAGUCAGGGGUGAAAUCCCGGGGCUCAACCCCGGAACUGCCUUUGAUACUGGGUGUCUGGAGUAUGGAAGAGGUAAGUGGAAUUCCGAGUGUAGAGGUGAAAUUCGUAGAUAUUCGGAGGAACACCAGUGGCGAAGGCGGCUUACUGGUCCAUUACUGACGCUGAGGUGCGAAAGCGUGGGGAGCAAACAGGAUUAGAAACCCGUGUAGUAC
rnacentral:rRNA from 1 species